GUUUCCAUGGGUGUUUCGCGCGUUUUUCGCCGGUCGCAAAUGAAUGUGAGCGAGUCUCGGGAGUGCCGAUUCGAGUGAUACUUAGUCACGAUGAUGUGAUGAACAACUAUAUUAGGUCGAAUCAUGAGCGAAAGUGAUUUGGAAGUGACAAGGAAGUGGGUGAAAGGAAGAACUAAGAUCCGAUAAAGCAGGAUAAUGGAAAAAGCAGAGAAGUGAUCUCUCUCUUCCCUCGCCUCGAUUUCCGCUUUGAAGCAGGAAGUGAUGACAACAUAUCUAGAGCUGUACAUCAAUUACAUUUAAUGCAAUGAUGUGUGUGCAAAAGGAAGAAUUAGGAUCUAAUGAAGCAGGAUAAUGGCAAAAGCAAAGAAGUGAUCUCCUCUUGCCUACUUUUCAUCUAUAAAACAGAAAAUGAUGAUAGCAUAUUCAAAGCUAUUCAAGUACAUCAAUUACAUUUAAUGUAAUGACAAGUGUAUGAAAGGAAGAACUAGAAUCCGAUGGAGCAGGAUAAUGGAAAAAGCAAAGAAGUGAUCUCUUCUCGUCCGUUUUUCCUUUAUAAAGUAGGAAGUGAUGGCAGCAUAUCUCUA